AGGUGGAGCGGUGAAAUGCGUAGAUAUCUAGCAGAAUGCCAAUGGAGAAGUCAGGCGACUGGGUCAGAGUUGACGCUCAUGGACGAAAGCGUGGGUAGCGAACGGGAUUAGAUACCCCGGUAGUCCACGCCCUAAACGUUGUGCACUAGGUCGGGGGGGUUUUGACGCCUUCUCGGCCGCAGCCAAAGUCUUAAGUGCACCGCCUGGGGAGUACGGUCGCAAGGCUAAAACUCAAAGGAAUUGACGGGGGCUCACACAAGCGGUGGAGCAUGUGGCUUAAUUCGAAGCAACGCGAAGAACCUUAUCCUAGGCUUGACAUGCACGGAUUAGCUCGGUGAAAGUCGAGUAACGCUCUCUGAGUGGAACGUGCACAGGUGCUGCAUGGCUGUCGUCAGCUCGUGCUGUGAAGUGUCGGGUUAAGUCCCUUAACGAGCGAAACCCUUGCCGUUAGUUGCCAGCGGGUCAUGCCGGGGACUCUAACGGGACUGCCGGUGUCAAACCGGAGGAAGGUGGGGAUGACGUCAAGUCCCCAUGGCCUUUAUGCCUAGGGCUGCACACGUGCUACAAUGCCGUCUACAGAGCGAAGCGAGACCGCGAGGUGGAGCAAAUCGCAAAAAGGACGGCCCAGUUCGGAUUGUAGUCUGCAACUCGACUACAUGAAGUUGGAAUCGCUAGUAAUCGCGUAUCAGCAAUGACGCGGUGAAUAUGUUCCUGAGCCUUGUACACACCGCCCGUCACGUGAUGGAAGCCGGUAGCGCCCGAAGUGGCCGCGAUUCAGCGGUCCCUACGGCGAGAUCGGUGACUGGCACGAAGUCGUAACAAGGUAGCCGUAGGGGAACCUGCGGCUGGAUCACCUCCUU
rnacentral:rRNA from 1 species